rnacentral:rRNA from 1 species
ACGCUCGACACCUACGGGAGGCAGCAGUGGGGAAUAUCGCACAAUGGGGGAAACCCUGAUGCAGCGACGCCGCGUGAGCGAAGAAGUAUUUCGGUAUGUAAAGCUCUAUCAGCAGGGAAGAAACUGACGGUACCUGACUAAGAAGCACCGGCUAAAUACGUGCCUGCAGCCGCGGUAAUCUGAGCGGGCUGGCAAGGC